AUACGGAGGGAGCGAGCGUUAAUCGGAAUUACUGGGCGUAAAGCGCUCGUAGGCGGCUUGUUAAGUCGGAUGUGAAAUCCCCGGGCUCAACCUGGGAACUGCAUUCGAUACUGGCAGGCUAGAGUAUAGUAGAGGCAAGUGGAAUUCCGGGUGUAGCGGUGAAAUGCGUAGAUAUCCGGAGGAACAUCAGUGGCGAAGGCGACUUGCUGGACUAAUACUGACGCUGAGGAGCGAAAGCGAGGGGAGCAAACAGGAUUAGAAACCCUAGUAGUCC
rnacentral:rRNA from 1 species